AUAUCAAUAAGCGGAGGAAAAGAAACCAACAGGGAUUGCCCUAGUAACGGCGAGUGAAGCGGCAACAGCUCAAAUUUGAAAUCUGGUCCUCGUGGCCCGAGUUGUAAUUUGCAGAGGAUGCUUUCAGGUUUUGGUGCCUUCUGAGUUCCCUGGAAUGGGACGCCAUAGAGGGUGAGAGCCCCGUAUAGUCGUGCACCAGGCCGUUGUAAAGCACCUUCGAAGAGUCGAGUAGUUUGGGAAUGCUGCUCUAAGCGGGAGGUAAACUUCUUCUAAAGCUAAAUACCGGCCAGAGACCGAUAGCGCACAAGUAGAGUGAUCGAAAGAUGAAAAGCACUUUGAAAAGAGGGUUAAACAGCAC
rnacentral:rRNA from 1 species